rnacentral:rRNA from 1 species
UACGUAGGUGGCAAGCGUUGUCCGGAAUUACUGGGCGUAAAGCGUGCGUAGGUGGUUUGUUAAGUCUGAUGUGAAAGCCCUGGGCUCAACCUGGGAACGGCAUUGGAAACUGGCUUACUAGAGUGCGGUAGAGGGGUGUGGAAUUCCCGGUGUAGCAGUGAAAUUCGUAGAUAUCUGGAGGAAUACCGGUGGCGAAGGCGGCAUCCUGGACCAUAACUGACGCUGAGGCGCGAAAGCUAGGGGAGCAAACGGG